rnacentral:rRNA from 1 species
GAGUUUGAUCCUGGCUCAGAACGAACGCUGGCGGCAGGCCUAACACAUGCAAGUCGAACGCGUGUAGCAAUACACGAGUGGCGCACGGGUGAGUAACGCGUGGGAAUCUACCUGGUAGUACGGAAUAACCAUGGGAAACUGUGGCUAAUACCGUAUACGCUCUUCGGAGGAAAGUUUUUCGCUAUCAGAUGAGCCCGCGUUGGAUUAGCUAGUUGAUGAGGUAAUGGCUCACCAAGGCAACGAUCCAUAGCUGGUCUGAGAGGAUGAUCAGCCACACUGGAACUGAGACACGGUCCAGACUCCUACGGGAGGCAGCAGUGGGGAAUAUUGGACAAUGGGCGAAAGCCUGAUCCAGCCAUGCCGCGUGAGUGAAGAAGGCCUUCGGUUGUAAGAC